UGGUCUAGCUUUAUGCAGAGAAGGUCCUCUCGAUAAUUGUCCUUUAAUGAUAAUUAUUCUUUGUUUCCAGAGAACGGGGGGAGGAGGAGGAGGAGGAGGAGGAUCAGACCAACAGCAGAGAGUUUCUCCACUGUUUGAGAUUUGCAAUCGACAUCAAUCCGGACAAAGAUUGGGUUAGCAUCAUCAAUCAUUAUCCUUAGCUUUUUCUUCUUCAAGUUAUCCAUCUGAUACACUAUAAAUCUCUUCUUUCAAUUAAACUAAACCUUGAAUAGUUUUUGGAAAGCAAGAAACACAUGUUCUCAAUUGAAAACAAGAAUUUGUAUCUAAUUUAAGGAUUAAAAUUUUGUGUGAUGAUUCUAUUUGUUCUGCCAGUGAAUCGUUCUUGCUGAUGAAAAACAUGUGUCACUGUAGUUUUUCUAAAUCUUAAUAUAUGCUUUAAUGAUUGAGUAGUUAAGAAGAAUUAGCAACAUCAGAUAGUUUAAACAUGUAAGGCAUUUCAUACUUUGGUUUUAGAUUUUUAUCAGUCAUGUUUUGCUUUUAACUAUAUGAAUCUAAAUAAUCAAAAAGUAUUCAAUGAACUAAUACUGCAUCAGUUCUAAACUGAUAUUAUUGGUUCCAGAUCUGGAUACUUCAAAUGUUUGUUUUAAUUAAUAAGAUAUGCAAAAUUUUUAAAAGCAAGACGAUUAGUGUUUCUGUCUUAUUUCGAUGAGGUCAGGUUAGAUAUUCUCUGCCCUUUGUUUUUCUCUGCUUUGGGUUAUGGUUAGAGGUCCUAAGAAUUUUUUUUUCUUUCUGCAAAUAUGGUUGGUUAAAGUGGCUACUGUGGGAUUGGUAUUGUGGGAAGUGGGUACACAGGGUCUUCUUUGUUUGUUAGAAGAACUGGCACAUUACUUGGGAGCUCAUCUUUGUUUAUUAGAUUGGUCCUUUAAUUCGAGUAGUUUGGCUGCUAGAGUCUUCAAUAUUUUGUUACCUCCACCAGAAAUAAAGGACAAGAAAGUCUGAAAGGAGUUUGAAUAUGUAAUUCAAUAGCAGAUAUAUGAAUCUCAAAUUUCUGUAUAUGAGUGUUAUCUUCUAUCAAAUCUGCAGUUUUGAUGUUUAAUUAAUUGUGAUUAAAUGAAUGCUUUGUCAAUGUAUUUGAAAAUAUAUGUUAAAGUGUUAGCAUUGAAUUUCUUAACUUCUCUGUUGUGUGCAAUGUUGGGAGCUGAGCAUUUGGGAACAACAGGAGGGAGAGUGAGUGCUUAUUUAAAGUGUUGCUUUUGCAGCGUUACAUAUUAGCAUAUAGAGAACUUGGACAACAACUUCGAUUUCAGCUGUUACUUGGUAAGCUUUAUGAAUCGUUUUCUUUUGUAUAUUUUGUUUGAGUUGGAUGUUUGAUAAGCUUUGCAUCUUUUGUUUUAACUGAUGUCAAGUUUAAAUAAGCCUAGUAAAUCAAUAAACAAAUACUUUGUUUCAGCUAUGUAGAAUCAUUUUUGUUGAUCUCGCAGCAUCGCGCGAGGGGGAUUAUCUAGUACUAUAUACGAAAGGCCGGUUGGGUGGGUACUGUUACUACUGUUCAUCAGGUCUUGAAAAGUCGCUUUUGCCCUUGCUUUUGGAUUCAUAUAAAGUUCUGCGAUUUGCCCUUUCUGGAAGCAUCCUUCUACACCGACAUCUCUACACCGACAUCAACUCUUCCAGACUAUAAAUUGAAAUCAGCAGAGGUGAAACAGCCCUGAAACGUGAGAAGCAUCCAAGAGAGGUAGAGGGUUUUUAGAUUCUGUUUGCUCUGCAAUUUCACAUCUAGGUGAUUAAUUACAACAUCUUCAAGUUAUGGCACCAAAGAUGAGGCACAACAAGAUAAAGAGAUUAUUACAAGAGCAUCAGGCUGGAGAUCAUAAUGAUAGAGAAAGAAUGCAAGAAAUGUAUGAUUGUCAGAAUCUUUAUACCAGUGUAACUAAGGCUGAAGGUGCUGUUUCCAGUCUAGAUUAAUUAUUGAAUCUUAAGUGUUCCAUUGAAUGAAUGCCUUAGCUGCAAAAUCAAGCUAACUAACAUUUUUUAGAUUUUGUUUACGGGAUCUGAAUCAAGAACUUCUCAAUGCAAAAAUGUCGACGUAUUUCAGCAUCAAAAGAAACGAUUAAGAAGUGAUGAAGGAAAUGUUACUGCAAUAGAAAAGGAGUGUGUGUUCAGCAAUCCAAACUCAAACGUUUUUGCCACAGGUCAAGCUACAUAUACAGUUGGGCAAGCAGUAUAUCAAAGAAGUAGACAAGUAUCAACUGUGAUGUAUGAAGAUUCAAGCAAUAAUAUUCAUACAUGCUCCUACUGUAACGCAUCUUUUUGGUUUGGAGAGGCGCUUAAACGAUCAUCAUCAAACGAACCUCUUAUUUAUACAAACUGUUGCAAGAAAGGCCAAAUCAGACUUGAAAAGCCAAAGCCAACACCUGCUUUUCUUGAAAAAUUAUUGGAUCCAAAUAAUGGUUUAGAAAGCCAACUUUUCAGAGAGAAUAUCAGAGUUUAUAAUUCAAUGUUUUCUUUCACAUCAAUGGGAGCAGCAAUUGAUUAUAAAAUAAAUACUGGAUCAGGACCUUAUGUUUUUAAAAUUAGUGGUUAAGUUCAUCAUUUAAUGGGUUCUAUAUUACCUUCUAA